rnacentral:lncRNA from 1 species
UUGCCCUUGAAAUAGUCAUCUUCCUUCCUUAGCCCCUAAAGUGCUGGGAUUAGAGGUUUGCACCACGUCUGGCUCCUAGCACUUUCAUUGAGACAGGUAUCCUUGUGUGUGUGUGUUACAUAAAAUAAUUCAAUACUUUCAAUAACCUUGUAAGGAGCUCAUGGUGAUGGAGGGGGAGCCAGAGCACACAUGUGGCAGUCAGAGAACAACUGAGAAUGGUUGUCUUUUUCCACACUGAUGGGGAUGCCAGGGACCAAACUCAAGCACCAGGACGAGAAACAGAACGCCAAACUUUGUGCAAGCAACCUACUACUGAGCAGCAUCUCUUGCUGUUUUCAGUAUAAGUUACAAUAAAUGUAAAACAAAUCACAUUGUAGGUAUAUGUAAAUAUAAGCUAAUCACUUGUUAUAAGGGAGGAAUAGGAAAAGAGAUGGAGACAGAUGGAGAGAGAAGCAGAGGAAUGCCAUGAAUGCUUUCUAGAGAGGAGCUGAUGGACUCUGUCAUCAGACAAGACCUGGGGCCAUGCAUGCCAACAGUCCUCCACCAACAGUGCAGCAAAGUUAUUUUCCCUAUGAAGAGAAUAGAACGGAACGGAACGGAAGGGAACGGAACAGAAUGGAAUGGAACGGAACAGAACAGAACGGAACAGAACAGAAUUCUAGACUAGAAGCAAGCAAAGCUCCAACUGGAUAGAUUGGAUACCAGUUUUAGAAGAGACUGCAGAGCUCUAAUGUCCCAUUAAGUUGAGCUGCUUCUUGGUUCCCAUCAUUUAUCUUUUGGUUCUAUAAAAAGCAGCACCAACAAGGUAAAUGGGUCAUAAAAUACCUUCUACCAAAAUCAGAGGGCAGAGGAGAAGUUCAAUGUGUCAAGGGUGGACCCUGAAGCGAGAAUAUGACCAUAUUCUGUCAAAGAGGAACAAAUUUCUGAGCAGAACAAGAAGCAUGGGAGCCAUAAAGAUAGGAACAUCCUAAGAGAGGAGAAGAAAGGGAAAGAGAGGAAGGAACAACAUGCAGAAAAUAAAAGAUGGUGCCUCAAUGAAUAAAGGCUCACCACCUGCCCAUGUGGACAUCCAGUUGUGUAGAACAUUAAUUUUUUUAAAAAUCAACUAUGGAUUCUUAUAAAAAGGAAAGAAAAAAUGAAUGACCCCAAGAGAUUCCAAGUUUAGUGAGACAGUUUGAAGACCUAAACAGUAUUAGGAAAGGGCUAAUAGAUGGGUAUAUUCUAAAGCAAGGGGCAUAUGGCAAGUAUGAUGUGGAGUAAUUUGCUGGCCUGGAACAAGACCAUGGUGGCCACAACAAACAAACAAACAAAAACACAUCUGUAUUUUUUAAGGGUUUCUUUUUUUAAAAAAAGACUUAUUCAUUUUAUGUAUCUGAGUACACUGUAGCUGUGGAUGGUUGUGAGCCUUCAUAUGGUUGUUGGGAGUUGAAUUUU